ACAGCAACCAUGUCAACUGCGACGCCUUCAGGUGCAAGAAGUUCGUGCUGCCGUCGCCGCCACCUCCUCCGCCUUCACCACCGCCACCAACCCCGUCUCCUCCGCCACCUUCACCACCGCCGCCGUCGCCUCCUCCACCAACCCCGUCUCCUCCACCACCUUCACCUCCACCCCCGUCUCCAUCACCCCCACCUCCGUACUACGAGGUCUCACCUGAGGAACGGUACCUUUCGCCGCCACCUCCAGCGUACCAAGAGCCGACAACGCCUCCCCACUACGAGGUGCCAGCUCCCUACUACGAGGUGUCACCGGAGGACCGGUACCACUCAUCGCCACCCGCAGCUUACCAAGAGUCUCCACCUCCGCCCUACUACGAGGUGUCACCAGAGGACCGGUACCUGUCGCCGCCACCUCCAGAGUACGAAGAGCCGACAACACCGCCCCACUACGAC
rnacentral:lncRNA from 1 species